UACGGAGGGUGCGAGCGUUGUCCGGAAUCACUGGGCGUAAAGGGCGCGUAGGUGGCGCGGGAAGUCAACGGUGAAAGUUCGGGGCUCAACCCUGAAUCGGCCGUCGAUACUCCCGGGCUCGAGCACUGUAGAGGCAGAUGGAAUUCCGGGUGUAGCGGUGGAAUGCGUAGAGAUGCGGCGGAACACCGAUGGCGAAGGCAGCCCCCUGGGCUGAGAUUGACGCUCAGGCACGAAAGCGUGGGGAGCAAACAGG
rnacentral:rRNA from 1 species